rnacentral:rRNA from 1 species
UAGUCCUACGGGGCGCAGCAGUGAGGAAUAUUGGUCAAUGGGCGGAAGCCUGAACCAGCCAAGUCGCGUGAGGGAAGACGGUCCUAUGGAUUGUAAACCUCUUUAGGCGGGGAGCAAUUCCGGGCACGCGUGCCCGGAGGGAGAGUACCCGCAGAAUAAGCAUCGGCUAACUCCGUGCCAGCAGCCGCGGUAAUACGGAGGAUUCGAGUGUUAUCCGGAUUUAUUGGGUUUUAAGGGUGC